rnacentral:lncRNA from 1 species
GGGGGGGAAUGUUAUUGUAGCUUCGCUUCAAGAUUUACAGGAUCAUCAAUAUAUAGUAUCUGCAGUUCAGGCUGUAGCAGUAUUUGUAGCAAUUUUUUUCGUAGUAAAAUCGUCUGCUCUUAUAUUUCCAUUGUCAGGCAACAAAGCACUAAAACUAACUGUCAAAUGAAUUGAAUGUUUUAGGAAACUUUAUACUUCCAUUGUCAGGCAACAACGCACUUUAAC